rnacentral:rRNA from 1 species
AUUGAACGCUGGCGGCAGGCCUAACACAUGCAAGUCGAACGCGAAAGUUCCUUCGGGAGCGAGUAGCGUGGCGGACGGGUGAGUAACGCGCAGGAAUCUGCCCUGUAGUGGGGGGAUAACCCGGGGAAACUCGGGCUAAUACCGCAUACGCCCCAAGGGGGAAAGCGGGGGAUCCUUCGGGACCUCGCGCUAUAGGAAGAGCCUGCGUCGGAUUAGCUAGUUGGUAGGGUAAAGGCCUACCAAGGCGACGAUCCGUAGCUGGUCUGAGAGGAUGAUCAGCCACACCGGAACUGAGACACGGUCCGGACUCCUACGGGAGGCAGCAGUGGGGAAUAUUGCGCAAUGGGCGAAAGCCUGACGCAGCCAUGCCGCGUGUGUGAAGAAGGCCUCGG